rnacentral:tRNA from 1 species
GCCCGGGUGGUGAAAUGGCAGACACGCUAGACUUAGGAUCUAGUGCCGCAAGGUGUGGAGGUUCAAGUCCUCUCCCGGGCA